rnacentral:rRNA from 1 species
AUACGUAGGGAGCGAGCGUUGUCCGGAAUUACUGGGCGUAACGGGCGCGCAGGCUGCGAUUCAAGUCAACUGUCAAAUCCCGGGGCUUAACCCCGGCAUGCAGUUGAAACUGAUUUGCUCGAGGCGCCGAGCGGCAGACAGACUUCCUGGUGUAGCGGGGAAAUGCGUAGAUAUCCGGAAGAAUACCAGUGGCGAAGGCGGUCGGCUGGCUGCGAACUGACGCUCAAGCGCGAAAGCCAGGGGAGCAAACGGGAUUAGAUACCCCGGUAGGCCUGGCAGUAAACGAUGUAUGCUGGGUGUGAGAUCAGCGAUGAUUUCGUGCCGAAGUUAACGCGAUAAGCAUACCGCCUGGGGAGUACGGUCGCAAGAUUGAAACUCAAAUGAAUGGGCGGGG